CCUAGUUUCGUCGUCAGUUUCUAUGUUGAGUUCUUUUCUGGUAUGUGAUUAAGUGGACCCUGUCAAUCUACAGACAGUAAUACCCAGCUCUUUCAGCAAAAACAUAGGAAACAUGAGGACACUUUUUUUACUGAGCCAAAAUGUUGCCCUGUUUUCUUUUAACACAGAAAAGAAUUCCUAGGCACAUUUCUGCUCGUCAGAGAUCAUUUUGGAAAUCGCAUGUAUUUCCUUAG
rnacentral:lncRNA from 1 species